rnacentral:rRNA from 1 species
GACGAACGCUGGCGGCGUGCUUAACACAUGCAAGUCGAACGGAAAGGCCCUGCUUUUGUGGGGUGCUCGAGUGGCGAACGGGUGAGUAACACGUGAGUAACCUGCCCUUGACUUUGGGAUAACUUCAGGAAACUGGGGCUAAUACCGGAUAGGAGCUCCUGCUGCAUGGUGGGGGUUGGAAAGUUUCGGCGGUUGGGGAUGGACUCGCGGCUUAUCAGCUUGUUGGUGUGGUAGUGGCUUACCAAGGCUUUGACGGGUAGCCGGCCUGAGAGGGUGACCGGCCACAUUGGGACUGAGAUACGGCCCAGACUCCUACGGGAGGCAGCAGUGGGGAAUAUUGCACAAUGGGCGGAAGCCUGAUGCAGCAACGCCGCGUGCGGGAUGACGGCCUUCGGGUUGUAAACCGCUUUCGCCUGUGACGAGGCGUGAGUGACGGUAAUGGGUAAAGAAGCACCGGCUAACUACGUG